AGCUUAUCUGUGAUGUUUUAAAAAAAUGUCUGAACUUAUGAGUCAAUUUGUGAUUCCAAUUUCUAACUGAGAUGAGCA
rnacentral:snoRNA from 1 species